UCAGAGUCACAGUGAGAAGGAGAACUCAUUUUAACGUCUUGCAGGUGCUCUGGCUCGGGGAGGCAAGGAUGAAAGAUGGAUGGAGGAAGGAGACAAGCUCGCUCAUUCCAGCCAUCUUUGGUGUUCAAGAUAACAACGGCCUUUGGUCACCAGGAGAUAGUACUGCUCAGCAAGUGCUGUUUACACCAGGAGAAAUGUGGACACAUCCACAGUUGCUGAUGUCUGUCUGCCUAACCAAAGAAAGGCCUCGGCCGACCUCCCGGUGAGCAGAAAUCCAACCAACUAACGCGCCGGUUAGGUCUCAUGUGGGAGCCCUUCUGUUAAGGAACUUCUCAUCUCAUUGCUCUGAAGCUCUUGGUCUAUGUUUUCUGAGUAUUAAAUUUCUCUUCUGUAAGACUUGAUAGCAUUAGGGGGAAGUCCAGAAAAAGCAUAAAGCGGGCUGUUUGUCACCUACCCGUUUUCACAAGGCGUAGGACAGAGCUAUUCGAGUGGGUCCCUGUUGGUUAAAACAACCACGAUGUGAUGAAAGGUCAUCAGGGGUGGCCGAGUCUAGAACGCUCCGCCGGUGGGGGAGCCACAGACGGGAACAAUGUGUGUGACGGGGCCGAGGGACGGGAAAGGGAGGCUACGAUCUCCCCACCGCCCCGAAAUCUCACAGGCACUUCACUGACCACAUUUGGAAAAAGUCUCUGCUGCAGUGUAUGCUCAAAUCAACUGAGAAUUUAGAACUUAGAGGCUGGGGGUGGAUGGUCAACGCGGGUUUGCCUGCUUUGUUUCUUUUCAGAUCCAGUAGCUUCUAUAACCACACGGGGAAGGAGGCAUGCAGGGAGACCUCAGGAUUUCACCCCCUAUAAAUGGAGGAGGGUCUACGGUGACGUCCACAGCGAUGUCAUUUGCCACCUGCGCCUCGGGGGUUGUGCUUGGACCCUGCACGUCUCUACUGACGUGUUGGUCACGAGUGCCGUUCAGCACAUCAGUUGGCUGUCCCUCCCCAGGCACAUGACUUGUCCUGGCCAGUCAACAGUGGGCAGCUGCCCUGCUGUCACACAUGUCCACACAUCUGGGUUCUGGCCAGGCCCCUCCGGGCUCUUUGGCCUCGCCGGUCGGGGCCUCAUGGCGGGGCUGGCGUCACCAGUGCUCUCCUGGCACCGUCUUGAAAGUCUUAUUGAUUUGUGAUCAGGGAUCCUGCGUUUUCAUUUCGCACUGGGCCUCGCAAAUGAUACAGCCGGCCCCAUCGUGUACAGCCGGCCCCAUCAUGGGGGGCUGUAGGUGACCAGCUGACCGCCAGCUCAGGACGGGUGAAGGCCAAGGGCUGGCCCUGUGUACCAGGCCAGGCCAGGGACCUGAGCUUGGGAGGAGGGCACUGAAGCUGGGGAGGCAGGCGUCAGGGGCAGCCAGACCAGCACGUCAGAGCAGGGGGCCCAGGCCAGCAUGCCACCAGCACCUGGAGCGCUUGGUGAGCCAGGCUCGCGUCACCUCCCUGAUACUCAGGAUACACUGGGAAAGCCCAGCGGGAAGGCGGGGACCCCAGGCUACAUGCAGACAGGCGGCAGGACAGGAGGAUACAAGGCUCUCAGGGGCCGGAACGGAAGGGCCACUUGCUGAGGGAGGGAGUGAAAGAGGCCGGGCCCUGAGGAUGGGGACACGGGGACACCGAGGGAGCCUCUGUCACAGCAGCCACACUAUUUCUAAGCAGAAAGGCCUGACAGGAUGGGACAUCUCUGGUUUCUGUAGGGAAGGUGACAAUGCAGCAGAAGGCUGUGUGUGGCCGCAUCGUGGGGCAGCUCUUACCCAGAGGUCCCGAUAAGUCACCCUCCUUCAGGGGACGUGAUCAGAACCGAGCAGAUCCUCACCGUCGCCGAAUUCUGAAUGAACUUGUUAAAGCGUUUUUAGUGUAAUGAAAACAUUAGGUCAAUUCCUAGCGGUGACGGUUGUCAUUAAAUCAAUAGCGCGUGCCGGCCAUCACGCUGACGGCUGACACGCACGCGUGAAGGUCUGCAAUCAGUUGUGGAGACGCUCAGAGUGCCCUCUACGUAGCCACUGGGGCGAGGGCCGAGAGGGGGUGACAGGGAAGAUAGAAAUCUGCAGCCCAGGAGAAGAGGGAAAGGCCACAGCCAGAGGGCCGCCUGGGGCUGGUGCAGAGACGCGUCUGCACCGGCGGCUUGUACAGCUGGACGAGCGCAGGGGUCUUGUGUUUGCGGUGGGCGCACCCAGUAGGGUUCUCAACACUUACCCCACCUUUAUCUCUUCUCCAGAUGAGUCAGCCCGAAAAAGUGGACGGUGGGAGUGGGGGCAGAAGGAAAAGCAAUGACAGGAGCCGGAGGUCAGCCCCGGAACAGGUGCUGACGUGAAGCCGGGGGUUUGUGGGGCUUUGCUUUCCGAGGGCAGGGCCCCCCUGCAGCAGCUAACGCACACACCAGUGUGGGCUUUGGGAACGCCCAGGCUGAGUCCAGCCACCACACAUUGGUCAGCUUUCUAAGUGGGGGUCUGUUAGGAAGUCAUGGCCAGAAGGGGCUCCCAGCCAGUGGAUUCUGAGGGGAGAGUGGGGCCAGGAAGAUAAGAGGCUGGCCCCACGGGGUGGGAGCGCUCAUGGGCAGGACUCGGGCCAGGCCCCUGUGCACACCUGCUCCUGGAUUCUCCGCGGCCUGCGGCUUCCUCCCCAAGGAGGCCGCUUCCUCUCUGAGACCAGGGGAGCCUGCGCUGCGUCAGGACACUGUCGACUUUCUCUUCUCUGCAUUACAACGCUCAUGCCAUCAGCACGUCACCAUUCGGAGCCCAUACUGCAUGCCAGGCACGUGGCCAGGUGCAGGGGUGACACAUAAGACACACAAGGGCAUUUGUCCACACGACUCUAAACUCAAGGGAAAGGGCUGCGCUGGAGAGGGACUUCGGAGCUGCUGUCGUGUAAAAUAAGGCCGAGGCCCCACCUGGCUGAGAUCGCCUCAGCUGACUAGACUGAUGGAUUCGUCUAAUGAAAAACAGAUUUCCUGGUUCCAGGAAGAGCGGAGCGGGUUCUUUCUCACCUGGGUGACGGACCUUUACCCACAGACACAGGUGGAGACAGGUGAGCCGUCCUCAGCCUUUCUGCUGCCUCUGUCCUUCCUGGGCCCAGCAGGGGAGAAAGAGGCCGACCUCACGGGGAAGAAGGGAAGGAUUCCAGUGUUAUCACUCCAAGCCGGGGUCAGCCCUCGCUGGUGCUGGAGAAAGAAAGGGGAGUCUUUCUCAGAGCCGCAGAGGCAGGUCCCUGUGGAAGGAGCGACGGCACCUUCCUCGCAGCAUCAGCUCAGCCCCAGACGGCCCGAGAGGUACCCCUGUGCCCGCACCCUCGUGGGGCCAGCUGAGUGUGGUCUGCCUUCUGUCCUGAGAGGCCAGAAACAGCAACUAGCAGCCCAAUCACCUGGGGGGCCAGAGGUUUCGGGGCAGGCUGUCCAAGCUCAACCGCGGCCUUGACAUUAAAGGGAGGGGGCACCCCAGGCACAAAGUAAGCUCCCAGUAUUUAAAGACACUCACUUGUGACUCAUGCUGUUGCAUUAAAUGUGUGAGUCACAUGGGAUCAAAGUGCUGGAUAAAAAGUUAGACACGAUUCUGGCAUCAACCCUCAGCCUCUCCCUCGGGCCGCCAGGAACGGCCGCACACACUGCACGAAAGGCUCUCAGAGAAAUGGCCACCGAUCCCAGACUUCCAGGAGGGGAGCCCAGUCCAGGCCACUCUGCAAACAGCCUCUCUCAGCAAAAAGGACAACAAUUUGUGGUAAAGUGGCAAAGGAUGCUGAUUUCAUGCAUUUUAUUGCUAAUAUUACUCCUAAAACGAGGGCGGGCAGGCUUCCCGCCCCCAUCCCCUCCCCGCCCGCCAUGGGUAAACGUUCCUGAAUUCUAGUCCUUCGUGAGGAAGAAUUAGGAGACCUGCGCCAGGACCCAGAGCCUCUGCAUCCGCCGUCAGUGUGAAGGCUGUUUGUGCUCCAGUCACACAUGGAUUUAACCAAAUGGAAGGGGACACCCCCUCUCAGGUGUCCCCAAGUGACUCUGCUUCAAACAGAAAGAAACGUGGACAGUGAUGUGAACAGAGCAAUACAGAAUGAGAGCGAAAACGGACGAAACGUGGGAGAGGAUUUCACCAGUGGAGCUGGGCUGGUGAGACAGUGCGAGGGCCACCCUCACCCCCUUGCUUGGUGCCUCAGUUUCCCUGUUCCACUCCCCCUUUCCAAGGCCUGGAGACCACCUGCCUGCUCCCCAUUUGCACCCGCCUAGUGUACCAAGCCCUACACCCUGCUGUGUUCAAUCUCAUCAGUAAGUUAAAAAAAAAAAAAAUUGAGACUCCCAGACCUAUGUCUAUUUAAAAUUUUACACGCACACCCCCUCCAUGCCACCCGCUCCAGCUCUCACCACUCUGCUCCCAGCCCACUGUCCCCUCCCCACCUUGGCUGGAAGUCCCCCUAGGCGCCCAGCCCCACCAAGCCCUCCGAGCCCUCUGCCAGCCCCUUGGCCCCACACGAUGCACCUGCAGGACACGCCCCCCCCCACUGUCCCAGAGCCCGGUGGGGAAGCCACACAGGUCACGGCAGUGGCCUCUACCUGGCAGAGGUUGGACUUGCACAACUGGCCUGCCUCCAGCCCAGAGACCCAGGGCCACGUGACAGGGACAGAUGUACAGAAGCAAACCACAGAGCUAGACUCGGCUGUGAGCGCAGGGCCAGCGGAAGGUUCUGGGCGCUUCUGUCCCGGCGUUGGUGCCUCCUCCUCUCAUGUACCCGUCGGCAUCACAUGGGCAAUCUUUAUUCAGUCCCCAGUCACUGCCAUUACCUGGGUGAGACUGAAGGAAUACCCCCCCUGCCUUUUGUCCUCUGACCCGGGGACGCCUGUGGGUUCUGUGACCCAAAAGGCAAGAUUUCAGCCAGAAAACCAGGCAGUGCGUGUUUUCAAGUCAAUUGUAUGAAGCUGAUACCCAGUAGCCCCAUGACACGCGUCACCAAAGUGCUCAAGGGCAGAUACGCCAGUCUGACCCCCAGAGCUGAGCUGGAAAAUGAGGCUCAGAGAGAUGAAAUGAGGCCUCAGACCCCACAGCCAGGGUGGCAGAGGGGCUGGUCCUGGAGCCUCUAUGCAGCUGCCACAGCCUCUGAACGCCGGGCCUGGCAAUGGGGGCUGAGUCAGACCCCAGAGGGCUGUGCCUGUGGGUGCCGCGGGGGGGCACGGAAGGGGCUUGCCCAGUGGCUGUCCCCUGCUGCCCCUGCAUGCACUCACCUCCACAGAACGCGACGGGGUCCCGGGCGGGUGCCGGCCACACCUGCAGCGCCAGCAGAAUCACGGGCAGCUGUGCGGGCCCCAUGCCUGGUCGGGCCACUGUGUGCCACCAAGUGAAUGGCAGUCGAGAGCUGCUGUGCGGGCCCCAUGCCUGGAGCAGGUCUCCCGGCGGUCGGGCCACUGUGUGCCACCAAGUGAAUGGCAGUCGAGAGCUGCUGUGCGGGCCCCAUGCCUGGAGCAGGUCUCCCGGCGGUCGGGCCACUGUGUGCCACCAAGUGAAUGGCAGUCGAGAGCUGCUGCCUCGUCACCCUGGAGACCAGUGCCAGCUCCACAGGGACUGCACCUGCUCCCACCUAGGUGCGCAGUGCAGCAGCCUCCGCUGGCUGGUCACCGCCCCGUCCCCUCCCCUGCACCUGGUUCCCAGCCUGUUCCUACUGAACUUCUAUCCGGUCCCCACCCUGCCUCACCGCAUCUGCUGGGGUGUGUUGGUUUUGGGUGGCACCUCAGGAGCUACAGGAAAACUGUGGCACAGAGCCCCGAGUGCCGGUAAAAGUGAGUCCGCACAUGUCAGGUCACUCCUGCGGGCCUUGUCCUCAACAGGGCUACAGUUGGUUGGAAAAAACGUCCUUCUGAGAAGCUCCUCCUAGCUGUCACUCCUUCCCCCGCCCCCAAAGGCCCCCUUUCCUGGAUUCUGAGGGCACACUAGCCCGUCCUUCUCCAGGGCACGCCCCUCCCACCCCGCCAUGGCCCUUGUCCCUGGUACCUUUCCAAUGGCCCGGUCCUUCCCAAGUAAACUAAAUAUUAUGAAAGGGCUAAGGAAUGAAGUAUCAAUUUACAUUUUCACAGGACACUGCCUUCAAAAGACAGCAGGCUGUGUUUCUUCCAAAUGAGUCUCAUGGAAAUCGCAGUAUGAAAAGCAGCUAAGCGCCAUGGCCCCUGGGGUAACGCGACCCACACGGCCCCAGGGCCACCCUCCCCACCCAGCUCAGGCUGGAGGGCAGCCUGGGUGCAGAAACAAGGAUAUUUCGGGACAGUGAGGAAAAUGCUUUUUAUAUUUCUUCCAAAUAAUCUGAACCAUUUCCUUCAAAUUCA